CGCGCGUGAGCACCGCCACAACCAACCGGAAAUCUAGGUGUUCUGUUAAACAAAUCCCAACAAAUUCUUUCUCCCCCACCCGGCUCUACAACAGAGUACAAAUUUGUGACCGGCUUGCACCCCCUUGGCCAUCAAUUACAUAAAAUCUCGGCCAUUACCGAAGGAAGAGCGCAGAGACAUAAAGGAUGCCGUUGCAGUUAAAUUCGAGGAGGAAUGGAGCAGAUGCCUUGCAGAGACCAUGGAUGUGAUCACCAGUGUCUUUCUAACCCGUUUGGCUUAUCGGCGGGCUCGGAAAUGGGCUGGCGUGAUCGGAAUUCGUCGUCAGAGUAGUGAUGCCGCUGCGCACCGCGCGGUUCCGCGGGUCGGGGUCAUCACUUCAUCAUCCCAGGUAAAAAGCCAACCGAUAGGAUCGUUGCGUUGCGAGCAUCGUAGCACGGUUACAGAUGUAGUUGGGACCUUGGCACGCUGGUUUGCCGUUCUUCGGCGGGUGCGCCGCCACGAGGUGGCCAGCUCCACCAUCUAGGGUCUCGGGUGGGGAAGAAGGUGCCAUCAUCAUCGAUCUGUUCGCGGACGGCUGGGAUCGUACUAGGCAUCCGGUUUGGCCAGAUCCGAUUGGGACCGUAGAUUGCGAAUCGAGUGGUUGUGGUUGGUUUGAGUUUUCAUAAAAUCUGGGCCAUCGGGUCUCAAUCCAGUGGCUCAUAGCGCAUACCGUUUCGGGUAGCUGAAAAUCUAAUCCGGGGCAUAGAUUUCGGAUCCAACGGCUGAAAUCAGUCCAUACCUCUUCGGCCGCGUGUUCUUGCUAAAAAGUCCCUCAACCUUUAACAAAUCAACCAGCCGUCCCGAUUUGCAUGAUUGGGUCCUCGGCUGGGUGCUUAAAAAUUACAAAGUGAUCCCAGGAAGUUUACAGAAACACCCAUGGAUGCUAAUUCUGGUAUAAAAUAAAUAUUAAAUUACCUAGAAACUUAGACAAUUCAUAACUUUUGCAUUCCACCUCUGAUUUGAUCCGUUCGAAUUGCGUUAGAUUCAUAAUAAUAUCCCCUAUACAGUAUGGCACUAACUUUUAUCACACCCCAUAAUUUUAUUAUUAGAAAUUUGUCUAGCCUAUGUUUAAUAGAUUAACUCUUCUAAUCAAAGUUUACAUGUCCAUAAUUAUAAUUUGACUAAAAUACGAUCUCGAGUCAAGUUAUAAUUUAGAUUAAAAUGGAGUUAAUUUUUUGAAGUAUGUUAUCCCAUAUGGCGUAUAAUAACCAAAUUAUACUAUGGUUUAAUAUUUAAUCACUUAAAUCUUCCAUAAACUAUAUCUUUCUAAUUGUAACUCCGAAUUUAGUGAUUCUCGAGCCUACGAUCUCGUAGCGAUGCGUAGAAUAUUAUUAUACGGUUUGUUCUUAUGGUUGGUGUAAUGUUAAUUUUGUCUAUAUCAUGUUUGUUUGUAUUGCUACGACUAGCAGCGAGGAUACGAGUCAAUUGAAGAGCAAGUUAGUACCUUGAAUCUCAAGUCUUAGGCAAGUUGUGCCCUUGAUCACUUCUUUUUACCCAGUCAUGUUUUAUUAAUCAUAAUGAUCUGCAUAGGUUAAUUUUGAUGGGACCCAAUAGGUUACCCUAGUUUAGCUAUCUUUAUACCUUGUUUACCGCUGAAAUUUUUGGGUAGUACCUGCUAUUGCUUUAUGUGGUUUUGGGUAUAGAGAUACACAUUAUUUAUGAUCCUACUUUUAAUAUCAGUUUGUUAUUUACUAUUCAUGAUAAGAUCAUUAUGUUAAUUGGAACAUGGAGAACCACUCGGGAAAAUAGUGCUACCACAAGGGUGGUAUGAGACGACCUUAGCUGAUUAAUUAGGAAAGCUAGUGGAGGACUACCUUACCCGAAAGGGGCAAGGGCAGUAGGGGAGUGGUCAGUGUAGGGAGGCCCUUGGGUUGAUUUUGCUGCGUGGCGGUCAGGCGAGGGGUCCCUACAUUGGAGCUUCCUAGAAACUGUAGCGGGUUUUCUGAAGCUAGUGGAACUUUGUAAAGGCCUCAUAGUGUUACUCUGCCUCGCCUCCUCAGUAGAGGUGUAUGGGAAGUCGCGAUCACUUGGCAGAUGGGUAACAUGACUUGUGGGUAAAGAUGUGCAACCUCUGCAGAAUGUAAAACUGGUAUACUAGCCGUGCUCACGGUCAUGAGCAGCUCGGACACUCACAUGAUUAACUUAUGGAUUUAAAUUCAAUUUGUCAUUUGUAUCGCAUUGGGAUUUAUUAUUAUUUUGAAUUUCUAUUACUAUGGUUUGGUAUUUACUUACACUUAGUAACUGCUAAUAAAAUUUUGACCAACUUAUAAAAGCAAUGCUCAUCUUUAACCAUCCUCUUUGGUAAGCCUUACACUUACAUGAGCUCCCACCUUUGGCGAGUUCAUGCACAUUAUUCCCCACACCUUGUUGAGCGAUGAACGUAUGUGAGCUCACUCUUGCUGUCUCACACCCUCAUAGGUCAAGAACAGGUACCGCAGGAUAAGGCAUA
rnacentral:lncRNA from 1 species